rnacentral:lncRNA from 1 species
GGAGAGCUUGGUCAGUGGGAUUGCCAAGAGGGACAAAGUUGCAGCACAUAAAUGGGUAAGACAAUGAGAAGCCGGGUCCUGUGACAGAGGGGACAGCUGGAGGAGUGAGAGGAGGUGGCUAAGGAGGUGACAUUUGAUCUGGGGCCUGAAUAAGCCUCCAUCCAAGCAGGUAACCGGAAGCAGACCCUCCCGGGAACCUGAGCCCCGGAAGCCAGCCUCCUCUAAGACACACUAGGAAGCUAGGCAUAAAGCAUUUUGAGUGAGCAGGGUUGGGGAGGCAGAACUGGGGGAGACAGGAGCAGAAAGGCCCUUAGCCAUAUAAACCAAAAUAUGAACCAUUUUGGAAAACAAAACAUAAUUGCAGGGCAAUUCCUUCAAGCUCUUUUAAUGAGGCCUUAAAAUCCACUUCUGCUGAGGUCCAGCACACACACAUCAGAAGGAGAAGGUUCAUGCGGUGCUGCAUUUGUCCUCACUGCACAUAAGGAACUGUGAUGUAUUCUAUUUUAUUUGAUUUAAGAUGCUGAUCCUUCCUCAGUACAUUGGUUUCACAAUCUGAUAAAUGGCUUGGUUUGCAAAACUGGGUUCUAGACCCUACUAAGGAGUCUGGCUUUUACUUUUGCUGUAAUCGGACACCUGCAGACAGUUGUACACAGAGUAAUAGCAGACUUGACUUUGCGUGCGUCUGUCUGUGUCUGUCUGUCUCUCACUGGGGAUGCAACCCAAGCAUUCAUUCACACUGAGUUCCAUCCCCAGCACUUUUUAUUUUUUAUUUUGAGACAGGUCUCACUAAGUCUAAGUUGCCCAGGCUGGGUUGAGCUCGUUGCUGUCUGGUGAGAGAGACCGUGGCAGGGAGAACAGUGAGGAAGCCGCUGACACAUGGCACCCAGGGAAAGAGGAUGGUGGCUCGGACUGGAGCGGCAGCAGAAGGGGGUGAAGAUGAGGAAUUCUGGAGGCGAAGCCAGCUCCUCGGGAUUCGGGUGCCACGUGAGACCACUGUUACUGCACGUUCACGUCCUCCCUGAGAAACUUCGGAAGAGAAAUCUGGACGCUCCAGGAGCCGCUGUUUACCCAGAGAUGGCCUCAGAUACAGACUUAACCCUUCCAGAGCUCUGGAAGGAACCUGACAGCAUCCUCUCCUGUGUGGGGCUCACUGGGAAGUCCUGGGCUAGUGUCUCUCUGAGGACACUGAGAUCUGCCUGUGUGCAGGAGAGAGACUCUGAAGGCUGUGUAGGGGAGCCUGAGCCUCCACUGACCAACUUGAGUUACAACCAGCCCUCGGGAACAAAUUGGGUUCACAAGUCAAGGGUCCACUGUAAAUAAAUAAUGUAAUAUAUCUGAACCACUGAUACUUCAUCGGUUGGAUGCAAAGUCUUCCUCCUGAGUUUGUUGUGAAGAUUAAGUAGAUGUAACACUGAGUACCGAGUACCUCGCAGGAUUUGUCACACAGAAGGCGUCUGGAGUAACACAAGUGAUUAUUAUGUGUAUAUAUUCAUC